CCUAGGGGAGGCAGCAGUAGGGAAUCUUCGGCAAUGGACGAAAGUCUGACCGAGCAACGCCGCGUGAGUGAAGAAGGUUUUCGGAUCGUAAAACUCUGUUGGUAGAGAAGAAAGGUGGUGAGAGUGGAAAGCUCAUCAAGUGACGGUAACUACCCAGAAAGGGACGGCUAACUACGUGCCAGCAGCCGCGGUAAUGCGUAGGUCCUGAGCGUUGUCCGGAUUUAUUGGGCGAAAAGCGAGCGCAGGUGGUUGAUUAAGUCUGGUGUAAAAGGCAGGGGCUAAACCAUUGGAUGCAUGGGAAACUGGUGGACUUGAGUGCAGGAGAGGAGAGUGGAAUUCCAUGUGUAGCGGUGAAAUGCGUAGAUAUAUGGAGGAACACCGGUGGCGAAAGCGGCUCUCUGGCCUGUAACUGACACUGAGGCUCGAAAGCGUGGGGAGCAAACAGGAUUAGAUACCCCUGUAGUC
rnacentral:rRNA from 1 species